GAAGAGAUAUCUACUUGCAAAUGAACUCAGCCAUGGGUGGGACAUCAUGGCGGAUUGGUCCUCAAGUGGGAAGGGAGAGGAGAGGAGGGAGGUGAAUGCUGGAAAUCUAAGGACGAGUUGAUUUUGUUGGAUUGGGGAGAAGAAUGGCGGGCCCAGCCUGCCCACAGAAGCAGGAGGAUAAUUUAAAAUACAGUUCAGACCCUCUCACUCUGUCCUAAUAAAAUCCACCGCCCCUGCCCCUGGUUUAUGCAAUCCAGGAUGAAAGUCUGACAUCUGCCUCUUUCUGUCCCUACCUGCUCUUGGCUCGUCUUAAUUAAGUCCCGUCAGCUUCCUGGCUGAACUGGGAGCCUCCAGUGCUCUUUUUAGCCUGGAGCCUUUGCACUUUCUGUGUAUAGGAAAUGUUCUUCUUCCAGGUUUUUAUAUAAUGGAAAGUUUAUGAUUCUAAAGCGUCUCUUCUCUGUUCCACCACGGCCACCUGGGUAACUCUGUGGAGGAGGAUGUGAAGGAGGAGGAGAGGAGGGAGGAAGAGAGGAAGAGAGAGAAGGAAGAGGAGAGGGAGGAGAGGGAAGAGGAGAGGGAGGAAGAGAGGAAGGGAGAGAAGGAAGAGGAGAGGGAGGAAGAGAGGGAGGAGAGGGAAGAGAAGAGGAAAGAGAGGGAGGAGGAGAAGGAGAGGAAGGAGGAGAAACAGGAGGAGAUGGAAGAGGGGAGGAAGGAGAAAGGCAAGAGGAGAGAAAGAGCUGGAGAAGGAGAGGGAGGAUGGGGAGGGAGGAGGAGGAGGAAGAAAGGAGGAGAAGGGGAAAGGAGGAAGGGAAGAAGAGUUGGGGUUUCAGCCAUGGCUAUUGCCCUUAACCAGAUGUUCAAUAACAGGAGGCUCAGGGAAUCCGCCCCAUGACACUGGAUUCUCUUAGAUGCUUUAUUUUCCCUUUAUAGAUUUUACUUCUAUCUGAUAUUAUAUAUUUUUAUUUUUAAAAACACUAUUUAAUUUGUGUGUCUGAACAUACACACACACACACACACACACACACACACACGCCACAGAACACAAGGUGGAGGCUAGAGGACUACUCUUGAAGUCUCUUAAAAUAGUUUAUUUUUAAGUAUAUGUGUAUACGGAGGGGCAUCCACACAAGCAAAUGUCCUAGAAGGACAGAAGCUGGCAUUGGGACCCCUGCAGCUGGACUUACAGGUAUCUGUAGGUGCUGGGAACUGAACUCUGGUCCUCUACAAGAAAAGUGUGUCUCUUUCAGCAACUUAAAGAGGAGAAGAUGUUACAGGAGCUACCAACGCUGGCACAUAAUAAGUCAGGUAGAAUUGGGGACCAUUGUGAAGGAGGAGACCACAGGAGGUCAAGCCAAGAUGGAAUGUUACACAAACAAGCAGACACUCAACUAUGACCCCACACCAGCAAGGAAGCUUCAUGAAUCAUUACAACCCUGGGCUCCUGGCCCUUACCCUGCCCUUGCCAGAUCUGUGCCCAUUCUACUUCCUCUGGGCUCCCAUGAGACCUUUCUGCUUGGCACAGCAAGACUACACUUAUCUUGACUUAGCC
rnacentral:lncRNA from 1 species